CAACAUCCUACGUUGAAAAUGGACUAGACGAUACUGAUAAUAAUAAUGGUUUUAUGCAAAAUUGCAGUGCAACAGAUCACUCAACGGUUGCUGAGCAUGAAUUAACAUUUUUAGCGCUUGGAAUAGUUUCAACAUCCUAUGUUUAAUAUGGAUUAGAAGAUUGCAGUACAGCAGAUCUUUCAAGCCAUGAUGAAACAUGAAUUAUCGUUUUUAGCACUUGGGAAAAUUUGGACAUCCCAUGUUGAAAUUUGACUAGACAAUACUGAUAAUAAUAAUAAUAAUAAUGGUAUUUUGCAUGAUUGCAGUACAGCAGAUCUUUCAAGCCAUGAUGAAACAUGAAUUAUGGUUUUUAGCACUUGGGAAAAUUUGGACAUCCCAUGUUGAAAUUUGACUAGACAAUACUGAUAAUAAUAAUAAUAAUAAUGGUAUUUUGCAUGUAUAGCAGAUCUUUCAAGGCUCGCUGAAACCUGAAUUAACAUUUUUACCACAUUGAAAAGUUUCAACAUCCUACAUUUAUAUUGGACUAGAAGAUUCCGAUAAAUCUAAUAAUUUUAUGCAAUUCACUUUUAUUAUUUUAUGGUUAAAUUCA